UCCGACGUCCUUCAAUCCCCGAGCUAGCUUAGUGAUACUAUAAGAAAAUGGAAAAGAAAUGGGAGUAAGCACAAAGCUUAGUAAGUUUGCAUGUAAAUAAUUAACAAUAUUAACCAUGCAUUAUUAUACAUAUAACACAAUAAUAUUUAUCACAAUGUCAUCCAAUAUCAUAGGUACAUUUUAAGUCAUGCCUUUUACAUAAUGUACAAUAAAAUUCAUUAUCAUAAUUCAUUCAUUCACUUCUUCCUAGGUCUCAUCGAUUCAUAAUCUUAAUAUUUAUGAGCUUUGUGUACGUACCUGUACCCUUUCAACAUGAUCAUACCAUGUCAUCUCUUUGACAUAAUCGUUGGAUUACCCGUUGAACCACUUGGAAUACUAAAGGAUACUCGAAACUCUCAUACACAUGGUAGGAUACCAAUGCCAUAUCCCAGAUAUGGUCCUACAUGGGAUCACAUAUCAAUCCCAAUGCCAUGUCCCAGACAUAGUCUUACAUGGGAUCGUAAAUCGAUGCCAAUGCCAUGUCCCAGACAUGGUCUUACAUAGGAUCACAUAUAGAUGCCAAUAGCCCAACUAUGGUCUUACAUGAAAUUACAUAUCGGUGCCAAAGCCAUGUCCCAGAUAUGGUCUUACAUGGGAUCGCACAUAACCCUAAUGUCAUGACAUUUGUAUCCUAACUAUUCCUACCAUUCAACUAGGGUUUUGAGAUAUCAAACUUCGUCGAAUCGUCACCAAGUCAUCAUUAAUUAAAUCCACAAAGGCAAUUACACAAUUCAUGCAAUAUUAAAGCAUUAAAAACAUAAUAAUGUAAUGUUAUAUUAUUUACACAUGAACUUACCUCGAUACCAAAAUAUGGCUAACUGUUCGAUUUAGUCCACAACCUUGUUCUUUCCUCGGUUUAGGUUCAGACUCUGUUUUUCUUGAUCUAUAAUAGAAAAUUUCACUUAUUUAAUUAUCAAAUUGUUCAAAUCAAUCCAUAAAUCAUACUUUGGAAAAAUUACAAUUUUGCCCCAUUAACUUUCACAUAUUUACAAAUUAGCCCCUAAGCUCGUAAGAUGAAUUGUGUUCAUUUUCUUUAUUGCCCAAGCCUAGUUGAACUUAUAACAUGCCCAUAACAGCCCAAAUUUUUCAUUGAAUCAUACAACUUACUACUCAUUUUACAAACUUUACAAAUAAGUCCUUUUUUAGCCAUUUUCACUAGAAAUCACUUGGUAAAAGAUGUUAAACACAUAUCAAAAUUCCAUAAUCUACCAUGAAAUAUCAAAAUACAUGCAUUUCAUACAUGGGUAAAAUUUCAAACAUGAAUCCUACUUCAAAAUAUGGCUAGAAAUAGGUAAAUCGGGUAACGAGGGUUUCAAAAAUGUAAAGAACAUUAAAACAGGCUAGGAUGCACUUACUAUUGAGCUUGAAAGUUGAAGAAACCCUAGAUAUGGAACCCUUAGAAUUUUUGACACACAUGAAGAAGAUGGACAUCAAUUUUGACUUAUUUUUCCCUUUUUAUUCUUUUAUUAACUAAAUGAUAAAAAUGCCCAUAAAGCCUUUCUUUCAAAUUUUUUCUAUUCAUGCCCAUUUUUGUCCAUAAAUAUAGAAAUUGGGAAAUUUUCUAUUUAAGGACCUCUAAUUUGCAACUUCAUACUUAAAGCUUCUAGAACUCAAAGUUUGCAACUUUUGCAAUUUAGUCCUAAAUGUUAAAUUGGACACUUUAUCAAUAGAAUUUCUUCAUAAAAUUUUCACACAAAUAUGAAAUCAUAUCAUAGACCUCAUAAGAAUCAUAAAAAAAUUAUUUCUACUAUGAAUUUGUGGUCUCGAAACUACUAUUCCGACUAUGCCCUAAUUCGGGAUGUUACACAGAUAACUCUUACACUAAGCCUUAAUUCUUCAUCUUACUAUUCAUGCACUCUUAUGGACCUACUCUUUCAUAGCACAACAUGCAGAGUCAUAAAACUUACCUGACAUAGAGCAAUCACUAAUAAAAUUUGUAUCUCAACUUCAGCUUAAAGAAAUUCUUCGGUUCCUCAAGCCUUAUAUAACCUUGCCUUAGAAGAAGGAAGAAGAGAACUCUCAUUUCCCAAAGAAGGAAGAAGAGAACUCUCAUUUCCCAAACUUGAAUAUAUAUUAUUGUAAUCUAAGUCAUUAUUGGAACUUGAAAAAUGUCACAUCAUUACUGAAUUGUCUUAUCAAAAGUCUACAACUUCCGAGAAACCUAAUUGAGUAUUCCUUUAUCUUUUAACUAUUUUGGUUCACAUUCAAUUGGUUCCUAACCAACUUACCUUGCAACUUAACUUGCACAGUACUAUAGUUAAUCGGGCGCAUCAUACCCCUGGUAUGAACUCAAACCCUCGAUACCAUUUUACUUGAUCGCAGGUCUUAUUGCAACUAAUAUGGCCACCUGACAAAGAAUAUUUAUUAACUUAUCCACAUAAUUGUACACACCCACUCUAUACACCGAAAGAUACACUUGGCCGAAGCCUACUCCGCCAAUCAUACUACCUUUAGACUAUGUGUCAAACCUUGUACCCGCCAGAACCAGAGUGUUACAAUAAAGACGUAACCUUUGUAUAUUCGAAAGAAGUACCUAUUACCCGUGUAUGUGCUUCUCCCUGAAUCACGAUGAGGUGAUGGCUCAAAGAUUUAAAGAGUGUAAGUAAAGUAUCAAAGACAAUGAAGAGAAGGAAAUAGUCUUAGAAUAAGGUACAAUAACAGACAAGUAUAAGAGAAUAAAAUUUGAAGAAGUAUUCUCUAGAGACAAAGUUAAAGGUUAAGAACGAUGAGUUUGUCAAACUAAAAUAUCAGUUUCUACAUACAAAUAUGACCCAGGAAAAAGAUGUUACCCUCACGAAGUUCUUAUGAACUUAUAUGUGUGUGUUAUGCUGUAAGCAUGAUGUUGUGGGUCUGCGCCAAGAGAAACAAUGUCAGGACUACGCCAAGAAGCAGCGUAUCGAGUUAUUAUGCAUACAAAGCAAGUUGUUGAUGAUUUUGAAGCUUGCUAUGUUACCUAGAAUUCCGUACUUUUAGGGACAAUUGUAAUAGAGUAGGAUGUUAGAUUUGGUAAUUUUGCAACUUAGUUGCCAUGUAUUGCAAAUGUAUUGACUUUAGUAAUUUAGUUGAAAAGUUGUAAUUAAGGGCAUUGUAAUUUGAUUGAAAUUUGUAUAAGUAGACUAAGUUAUUGUUCGUAUUUAUGUGGUAACACUCAAGAUCCGAGUUUGGUUAAUCGAAUCGGGUUGAGGGCGUUAUAAUUUCACUUGAUUCGAUUCGACUCAACUCAAAUUUCAUUUCACUCGACUUGAUUCGAAAAAAUUUCAAAUCGAGUUAGGAUGAUAAAAUAAGACUUGUCAACUGAAAUUACUUGAAAAGUUUUUACUCGAUUCAACUCGAUUCGGUCAAAUGCUCACACCUACUUACUGUAAAUUACUCCACAUUUUUCACCUUUUAUCUUGAAUAACUACUCACAAACCCCUCAUAUCCCUCUAUCCAGUUGAUAAAUUCCUUUUAUUAUAUAAAAAUAUUACAAAAUUAAUUUUAUAAUUAAAUAAAAGUUUGGUCUGAAAAUCCAAAUGGAGACAAUCUUAUUCUUUUAGAAAAAAAAAAUCUAGUUUUCUUUUGAAAUUGUAACAUAUAAUCAUAUUAAAAUUUUUACCAUAAUUUUUACCAAAAAAAAAUAUUUUCAUAAUCAAUCAUUAUAAAUAUUGAAUUGACUUGUACCUCAAAUUAAUUUACUCACAUAUCAAUGGGAUAUCAUAAUAUAUGAUUUAAGAAAUUUAAAUGUUUGAGAUCUGUGUAAAAAUUAUAGGGUGAAAAAAAGAUAUCUAAAUAAAAUGACAAUUUCGAAAAUUCAAAGGUUACCCCCAUAUUUUGGUUGAAUAGUAGGUUUUCAAACCAUAUAAACAACUUUUUUUAAAAUAAAAAUUGUUUAAAUUCUUAUUUUGACCACAAAAAUCAAUUUUAAUGGAAUUAGGAAAGUGCCAACAAUGAAAAGGACCUUAUCGUCUAAUUAAAAAAAUUACCAAGACCAUCAAAGUUGGUUAGAAGAGUAGAAGCAAAUAGAAAUGUGGAAAUUUUUAUUUGGCCCACAAAGACCAGGUGUGGAGAGCUUUGUUUAGCUUCUACCAAACUUAAAACGGAAACACAUACUAGUUCCUAUUUAUUUAUUCAUUAAAUAACAUUCUAAAUCUAAUCCAAAAAACACCAAGGGUAAAGUGGUCAUUUCAGUCAGAUUUUUCUCUUCUUUUUUCUCUUUAUUGUAAAGCCUUUUAGUAUAGUAGUGCAAAGUUGGAUAGAGUAUUAUAGUCCAAAACAAUUAAUUUCGCCACAAGAAAAUAAAAGCUUUUCUAAAAAAGGACAGUAAUAAUAAUAAAACUAUUCAAACUCUAACGUCCCUCUCCCAGCAAAACAAACAAAAGCGAUGAAAGUGAUAAUAAUGAGGUGCGUCAUAAAUAAUAAAAAAGCAGGUGCUUUUUGUGCUAUUACCGGACCACGUGUUAGGAAAUUAAUGAACCUGAUUAGGUGCAGAACCAUACCUCUGGGUGAUCUCAGCUGCAGCUGAUUGUUAAUGCUACGUGUCCAUUCCAUGCCGACGCGGCCAUCCAAGUCAC
rnacentral:lncRNA from 1 species